UGAAGUAAGUAAGGGCGUACGGUGAAUGCCUUGGUGCCAACAGGCGAAGAAGGACGCGGCAAGCUGCGAAAAGCCUCGGGAAGCUGCAAGCAAGCGAUGAUCCGGGGAUAUCCGAAUGGGGUAACCUGAUCGAGGCAAUACUCGAUCGUUCAUACCUGAAUACAUAGGGUAUGAAACGCGAAACCCGCUGAAGUGAAACAUCUCAGUAAGCGGAGGAAAAGAAAGAGAAAUCGAUUCCGUAAGUAGUGGCGAGCGAAAGCGGAUGGAGCCCAAACCGAAGGUAUUCCUUCGGGGUUGUAGGACCACGUCAUAUUCGACCAUACUGGAUAGUAGAACAGCCUGGAAAGGCUGGCCGGAGAAGGUGAAAGCCCUGUAGACGAAAUCCAGAGUGGGAAUUAGUGGUAUCCUGAGUAAUACAUCACACGUGGAACGAUGUAUGAACCCGCGCGGACCACCGCGCAAGGCUAAAUACUAGUUGGCGACCGAUAGUGAACAAGUACCGCGAGGGAAAGGUGAAAAGAACCGCUGUGAGCGGAGUGAAAUAGAACCUGAAACCGUAUGUCUACAAAGUGUCAGAGCAGAGCAAUCUGCGAUGGCGUGCCUUUUGUUUAAUGAGUCUGCGAGUCAGUGUUUGUGGCAAGACUAAGGGCUUCCGGCCCGGAGUCGCAGCGAAAGCAAGUCCGAACAGGGCGUAAUAAGUCGCAGGUACUGGACCCGAAGCGGAGGUGACCUACCCUUGGCCAGGUUGAAGCAUGGGUAAAACCAUGUGGAGGACCGAACAGGUGAACGUUGAAAAGUUCUCUGAUGAGCUGAGGGUAGGAGUGAAAGGCUAAUCAAACCCCGUGAUAGCUGGUUCUCUUCGAAAUGCAUUUAGGUGCAGCGUCACGUGCUGAUGCGCGGGGGUAGAGCACUGACAAGGCUAGGGGGCACACCCGCUUACCAAACCUUAUCAAACUCCGAAUACCGUGCAAUGGAACGUGGCAGUGAGACAGUGGGGGAUAAGCUUCAUUGUCGAGAGGGAAACAACCCAGACCAGCAGCUAAGGUGCCUAAAUAACGCUCAGUGGAAAGGAUGUGGGAUUACACAGACAGUGAGGAUGUUGGCUUAGAAGCAGCCACCAUUUAAAAAAUGCGUAAUAGCUUACUCAUCGAGUGAUCCUGCGCCGAAAAUGAUUGGCGAUCAAGCGUUAUACCGAAGCUCUGGACUUUGCCGCAAGGCAGAGUGGUAGAAGAGCGUUGCAUGCGCGUCGAAGGGCGAUGGCGACUGACCCUGGAGCACAUGCAAGUGAGUAUGCAGACAUGAGUAACGUUAAGCCGGGUGAAAUCCCCGGCCGCCGUAAACCCGAGGUUUCCAGGGCAACGUGUUUCGUCCCUGGGUUAGCCGGGACCUAAGCCGAGGCCGAGAGGCGUAGGCGAUGGACAUCAGGUUAAUAAUCCUGAGCUCGCAACCCUUAAACUGGGGGGACGCAUGAGAAAAGAUGACUAGGUUAUUGAAUUCCGAGUUGAGUCCACGGACUCAGCGCAUCAUUGGAUCGAGUGCCAAGAAAAGCCCCAGCGUAUGCUAAGCGACCCGUACCGCAAACCGACACAGGUGGGUGGGUAGAAUAUACCAAGGCGUAAGAGUGAAACCUGGUUAAGGAACUCGGCAAAUUAGCCCCGUAACUUCGGAAGAAGGGGUGCCUGCAGCGAUGCAGGCCGCAGAGAAAUGGCCCAACCGACUGUUUAUCAAAAACACAGCACUCUGCAAAGACGCAAGUCGAAGUAUAGGGUGUGACACGUGACCAAUGCCGAAAGAUUAAGGCAAGGGGUUAGCCGCAAGGCGAAGCUCUAAACCCAAGUCCCGGUGAAUGUCGGCCGUAACUAUAACGGUCCUAAGGUAGCGAAAUUCCUUGUCGG
rnacentral:rRNA from 1 species